ACGUAAGUAACCUGCCUUUAAGACGAGGAUAACAAUUGGAAACGGUUGCUAAGACUGGAUAGGAAACAAAAAGGCAUCUUUUUGUUUUUAAAAGACCUUCUUAUGAAGGUAUGCUUAAAGAGGGGCUUGCGCCACAUUAGUUAGUUGGUAGGGUAAAAGCCUACCAAGACGAUGAUGUGUAGCUGGACUGAGAGGUUGAACAGCCACAUUGGGACUGAGACACGGCCCAAACUCCUACGGGAGGCAGCAGUAGGGAAUUUUCGGCAAUGGAGGAAACUCUGACCGAGCAACGCCGCGUGAACGAUGAAGUAUUUCGGUAUGUAAAGUUCUUUUAUUGAAGAAGAAAAAGUAGUGGAAAAACUAUAUUGACGUUAUUCAAUGAAUAAGCCCCGGCUAACUAUGUGCCAGCAGCCGCGGUAAGACAUAGGGGGCGAGCGUUAUCCGGAAUUAUUGGGCGUAAAGGGUGCGUAGGCUGUUAGAUAAGUCUAUAAUUUAAUUUCAGUGCUUAACGCUGUCUUGUUAUAGAAACUGUCUUGACUAGAGUGAGAUAGAGGCAAGCGGAAUUCCAUGUGUAGCGGUAAAAUGUGUAAAUAUAUGGAGGAACACCAGAAGCGUAGGCGGCUUGCUGGGUCUUGACUGACGCUGAGGCACGAAAGCGUGGGUAGCAAACAGGAUUAGAUACCCUGGUAGUCCACGCCGUAAACGAUGAGUACUAAGUGUCGGGGUAAAACUCGGUACUGAAGUUAACACAUUAAGUACUCCGCCUGAGUAGUACGUACGCAAGUAUGAAACUUAAAGGAAUUGACGGGACUCCGCACAAGCGGUGGAUCAUGUUGUUUAAUUCGAAGAUACACGAAAAAUCUUACCAGGUCUUGACAUACUCUGCAAAGCUAUAGAAAUAUAGUGGAGGUUAUCAGGGAUACAGGUGGUGCAUGGUUGUCGUCAGUUCGUGUCGUGAGAUGUUAGGUUAAGUCCUAAAACGAGCGCAACCCUUGUCGUUAAUUGCCAGCACGUAAUGGUGGGGACUUUAGCGAGACUGCCAAUUAAACAUUGGAGGAAGGUGAGGAUUACGUCAAAUCAUCAUGCCCCUUAUGAUCUGGGCUACAAACGUGAUACAAUGGCUGUGACAAAGAGUAGCUGAAACGCGAGUUUUUGGCCAAUCUCAAAAAAGCAGUCUCAGUUCGGAUUGAAGUCUGUAACUCGACUUCAUGAAGUUGGAAUCGCUAGUAAUCGCGAAUCAGCAUGUCGCGGUGAAUACGUUCUCGGGGUUUGUACACACCGCCCGUCAAACCACGAAAGUUAGCAAUACCCGAAAACAGUAGC
rnacentral:rRNA from 1 species